rnacentral:lncRNA from 1 species
AAAAAGUUCGGGUGGAACUUUAUAAAAAUUUAUCUUUUUGUUUUUCAAAUUAAGGAUUUAAGUACCGUGGCACGGGGUCGUGCCGGAAACUUGUCGGCACGGUACGGCACGGUGUGUGCCGAGCCGUGCCGAUGCGUACCAGUCAAAAAAAUUCAUGUGUGCCGACACAUAAUAGUAUGAAAUAUUUAUUUUCUUUAGCAACAAAAUAUUAUAACUAUUUAUUAUAUCUUUUUAUCACAUCUUUUGAGCUUUAUUAAGAAAAUUACUUACUAAUUUAAAGAAUAGAGAGUUUUGAGCUGUGCUAUCGGCACGAGGUCUGUAUCGUGCCGGAAUCUUAUUGGCACGGUACGGCACGAUAGAUACGGCCCGUACCGACGGGCACUUAAAACCUUGUUUCAAAUAUAAUUAUAGAAAUUCUAUCUUAAUAAAGCUAGCGUGGUUUGUAUAAAUAUGCAAUCAUUUAUCGAAUUGAAUGUAAUAUUUUUUUCGUCAUGCUUUAAAAUAAGAGUUAGAUUACUAUACUUUCGAAAGCACUGAAACCUCCAUAAUUUUAAGUUAUUUUUGAUGAUAAAAUAUCCGAUACAACGAUAGACUCUAUUAGAUACGACUAUUAUAUUAGAACUAUUUGGAAAUCAAAUUGCAUAAUUUUUUUGUUUUCAUUUUUCUAGUAAACGAAUAAUCUCAAAAUGAAAGUAAUAUCAAAAUGAACGACUGGAAAUAAAAUUUUCAUAAAAAAUAGUGAUAGAAGACUUAAAUUUCAAGUCAAACAUAUUGAUCUUACUCUCGAUAAUAAGUAGAAUUUUUAUUGAAAUAUUACUUAAUCUGAAUUGUUCUAUACCGUAGGACUUACAAAAAUAUCAUAUCGGCAAUUAAAAUAGUCAUUUUUGAGAUAUUUUGGUUACUUGGCAAAUAAUAUCCUAAAAUUAUAAAAUUUUAUUUUUAUAUGGGCUUUUUUUGCAAAUGACACCAUGGAAAAAUUUUAUUUUAAAACUAACCCCAACAAAUUUAUAAUUGCAAAAAUGGCUUUACUCCUCCCAUGCUGGAGCUACGCAAGCACCACGUGGGCGGGCUUGUUCAAACAAGGUGAAUGGUUCAACGUGUUUCAUAUUUAUAUUUCUCUUCUUCUCUUUUUCAAUAUUUAUAUUUUUCGCAAUACAUAUAUUUUUUCUAGACACGGUGAAUCAUUCACCGUAUUCAAACACGGUAAAUAAUUCACGGUAUUCUGUACUUAUAUUCUCCCUAUUACGAAUGUCAACGGGUCCGGUUUGGAUCAAGUUUUCAAAAACCUGAACCCAAAUCCGAAAAUCAAAUUAAAACUUGAAUCCGAAUCCGAAGCCGGCGGGUUUUAAAAAUCCAUACACAUAUCCAUACCCAACCAAAAACCCGAAACCCAAAACCCGAACCCGAACUCGGCGGGUUUUAUAUAAAUUAUUAAAUAUUUUAUAUAUUGUAUAAAUAAAUAAAAAUAAAUUAUGUAUAUAAAUAAUUUAUUCAGGUUUGGAUUCGGAUAAUAUUUCGGGUAUCCAUACCCAUUGACAUCCCUACUCCCUAUUCGGAUUUUAAUUUGAUUUUCGGAUUCGGGUUCGGGUUUUUACCCGAUCCGUUGACAUUCCUAAUAGAGAAGAAGAGUAAUAUAAAUAUGAAACACGGUGAACUAUUCACCGUGUUCAACUUGCCAAGCAGGCUCCCAGCCAGCCCACGUGGCGCUUGCAUGGCGUCUAUAUGGCAGGAAUACGGCCGUUUUUGCAAUUAUAAAUUUGUUGGGGCUAGUUUAAAAUUUUUUUUUUUUUUUAGGGGAACAUUUGCAAAAAAAACUUUUUUUUAUAUAGUUCUAAUAACAUAAUCAGUAUUAAUGAAACUGAUCGUCGAGUCAAAUAUUUCGUCAUCGCAAAUAACUUAAAAAU